UGCAUGGUGUUGCGAACAGACCGCGGGCCC
rnacentral:sRNA from 1 species